UACAACUGUGACAGUUCGCGCUCAUCCUGUGUAUGUUCGUUCGUUCCGCGCGCCCUUUGUGCUUGAGCAGCGCAUUGCAAAUUUAGAGCGGCUUGCCGUUCUCCGCGUAACAUUGCAAUUUGGUGCUGUAGCAUUCAUUCCUUCGCGCUUGGGGCAAGGAAUGCACAACAAACGCCCAACUACAUCGUGUAAU
rnacentral:lncRNA from 1 species